CCUACGGGAGGCAGCAGUGAGGAAUAUUGGUCAAUGGGCGAGAGCCUGAACCAGCCAAGUAGCGUGAAGGAUGACGGCCCUAUGGGUUGUAAACUUCGUUUAUAAAGGAAUAAAAUGAGGCAAGUGGGCAUUUAUGUAUGUAUUUUAUGACUAAGGAUCGGCUAACUCAGUGCCAGCAGCCGCGGUAAUACGGCGUGGCCGAUGGGUAUCCGGAGUUAUUGGGUUUAAAGGGAGCGUAGAUGGGUUGUUAAGUCAAGUGUGAAAGUUUGCCGCGCAACCUUAAAAUUGCAAUUGAUACUGGCAGCCGUGAGUACAGGUGAGGCAGGCGGAAUUCGUGGUGUAGCGGUGAAAUGCUUAGAUAUCACGAAGAACUCCGAUUGCGAAGGCAGCCUACUAAACUGCCACUGACAUUGAUGCUCGAAAGUGUGGGUAUCAAACAGGAUUAGAUACCCCUGUAGUC
rnacentral:rRNA from 1 species